UCUGGAAAGUCCGACGGUACAGGGUGAUAGUCCCGUACACCAAAAUGCACAGGUUGUGAACUCGAAGAGUAGGGCGGGACACGUGGUAUCCUGUCUGAAUAUGGGGGGACCMUCCUCCAAGGCUAAAUACUCCUGACUGACCGAUAGUGAA
rnacentral:rRNA from 1 species